ensembl:misc_RNA Metazoa_SRP Metazoan signal recognition particle RNA
GCCUGGUGUGGUGGCGGGCACCUGUAAUCCCAGCUACUCGGGAGGCUGAGGCAGGAGAAUCGCUUGAAUCCAGGAGGCAGAGGCUGCAGUGAGCCAAGAUGGCACCACUGCACUCCAACCUGGGUGACAGAGCAAGACCCUGUCUCAA